CUGCCUUGCUGAAUCUACUCAUGAUUUUAUGGGACAUUGUUCGCAAGUACGAAGGAAGGGCUUGUGCAGGUGAAGACAUUCAGCUUGACUGUGACUGACCCAUCAUUUUGGCACCUGCUCUGGCCCUGGCCCUGGGCCUGUGACAUGCCAAUCUUCAGCCGUAGGACAGAACUGCCUAAAUGAUGGACCGAACAACUUCGUCAUCCUUCAGUGACCUCAGCUAAGUCAUUUUCCGGCCCCUUCAUUGUUAUUUAAAGAAGUGAUGGUGAGGAUUGGGGAGCAGAAAAUCAAGCCCAAUGACACAUUCCAUCAGCACGCCCCCUGCCCUGACCAUUAAGUAUUUCCUGGAGUUGCUCACUUGGUAACUAAGUUGUUCACAGCUUGUCUUCCUUCCUUUAUGGGAUUUGUAACAAGGUCAACCCUGGCCAUCACAAAGGCCCCGAGGAGGGCUGUUUAUGUCAUCUUGGAAAAGGAGGCAAGUUUCCGAGGCAUGCUUUCUGGUCUGGACGCUGACCGUGCAGUCUCUCAGGCCCUCCUCAACAUUCUGCUUAAACAAACAUUAUUUAUGUUCAGCAGGAGAACCAUUCCCCACUGUCUGCUUUCUCUUCACUCACAUAAAACUGCACAUUUAAUUUCUGUUUACACAUAUAUAAACCAUAUCUUUAGGAGCGGCCUGGGAAAUUCUUGGUUGAAGACGGAUUUUGCCUUUGGAAAACACAGAGGAGGAGGUGAGGGGAUACUAGCGUGCUGUUUGCGAGGAAGUAUACCCCUUGGGCCUGGGAAUGGAGGUCCGUGGCUUUCUCCUACCUUGGAAGGGCGCUGCACUG